rnacentral:tRNA from 1 species
GUAAUGGUGGUUCAGUGGCAGAGCUGUCACUUUCCAUGUGGGAGACCUGGGUUUGAUUCCUAAUCAAUGCA